AGAGUUUGAUCCUGGCUCAGGACGAACGCUGGCGGCGUGCUUAACACAUGNNAGUCGAGCGGUAAGGCUCCUUCGGGAGUACACGAGCGGCGAACGGGUGAGUAACACGUGAGCAAUCUGCCCUUCUCAUCGGAAUAACCAUUGGAAACGAUGGCUAAUGCCGAAUAUGACCUCGGAUCACAUGUUCUGAGGUGGAAAGCUCCGGCGGAGAAGGAUGAGCUCGCGGCCUAUCAGCUUGUUGGUGAGGUAAUGGCUCACCAAGGCAUUGACGGGUAGCCGGCCUGAGAGGGUGACCGGCCACACUGGGACUGAGACACGGCCCAGACUCCUACGGGAGGCAGCAGUGGGGAAUAUUGGACAAUGGGCGAAAGCCUGAUCCAGCAACGCCGCGUGAGGGGUGACGGCCUUCGGGUUGUAAACCUCUUUCAGCAGGGACGAAGCGAAAGUGACGGUACCUGCAGAAGAAGGACCGGCCAACUACGUGCCAGCAGCCGCGGUAAUACGUAGGGUCCGAGCGUUGUCCGGAAUUAUUGGGCGUAAAGGGCUCGUAGGCGGUUUGUCACGUCGGGAGUGAAAACUCAGGGGCUCAACCCUGAGCNUGCUUUCGAUACGGGCAGACUANAGGUAUUCAGGGGAGAACGGAAUUCCUGGUGUAGCGGUGGAAUGCGCAGAUAUCAGGAGGAACACCGGUGGCCAAGGCGGUUCUCUGGGAAU
rnacentral:rRNA from 1 species